rnacentral:rRNA from 1 species
UACGUAGGUGGCAAGCGUUGUCCGGAUUUACUGGGCGUAAAGAGCGCGCAGGCGGUCGAUCAAGUCGCGUGUGAAAGCCCCCGGCUCAACUGGGGAGGGUCACGCGAUACUGAUCGACUCGAAGGCAGGAGAGGGUAGUGGAAUUCCCGGUGUAGUGCUGAAAUGCGUAGAUAUCGGGAGGAGCACCAGUGGCGAAGGCGACUACCUGGCCUGUUCUUGACGCUGAGGCGCGAAAGCUAGGGGAGCAAACGGG